rnacentral:lncRNA from 1 species
CUUUUUGCCUUUUGAGGGCCGCUCCCGAGGCAUAUGGAGGUUCACAAGCUAGGGAUCUAAUCAGAGCUGUAGCCGCCGGCCUACACCAGAGCCACAGCAACACGGGAUCCAAACUGCAUCUGCGACCUACACCACAGCUCACGGCAACGCUGGAUCCUUAACCCACUGAGCAAGGCCAGGGAUCGAACCUGCAACCUCAUGGUUCCUAGUCGGAUUCGUUAACCACUGAGCCACGACGGGAAUUCCUCCCGGCUCUUUGCUCUAUGAUGAUGACUAGGAUCAUGUCCUGCCUGAUAACGUCAUCAGUGUGAGGUCACCAGGCCCUGACUUCCUCCCACAGCACAGGGGCUAGUCCUUAAAGCAUUUUAUCUGAUUUUAUUCACCAGAAACCACUCCAAAAAUGGGUUUGGUGAGGUGUCAAAUUCUUUUUUAAGCAAGUCUUUCUACAUACCAACAACAGCCAGUUAGCAAAGAUUAUGGGAGAGAGAUAUAAGAUCCCUUUCAUAACAAAAAUUCUAAAAAUAAGAUAUCUGUCUAGAACUGAGCAUUAAAAAUAUGCCAGGAGUUCCUGUUGUGGCUCAGCAGGUUAAGAACUGAUGUAGUGUCCACAAGGAUGUGGUUUGAUCCCCAGCCUUGCUCAGUAAGUUAAGGAUCCAGUGCUGUCGCAAGCUGCGGCAUAGGUCACCGAUACGGCUCAGAUCCAGCAUUGCUGUGGCGUGGUGUAGGCCAGCAGCUGCAGCUCCAAUUUGACUCCUAGCCUGGGAACUUCCAUAGGCUGCAGGUGCAGCCAUAACAAGAAAAAAAAAAUUGCCAAAAGGAGUUCCAGUGUGGCUCAGCAGGUUAAGUAUAGAGCAUUGUCACUGCCAUGGACCAUUGUCACUGCUGUGGAGCAGUUUCAGUCCCUGGCCUGGGAGCUUCCACAUACUAUUUCAAGUCUUUAGAAAAUGAUCGAAAAUUAAUACCCAACAGUAUUUGUUUCUGGAACUUGGCAAAAAUGAUCCUAAACAUCACCUGGAAUAAUAAAUAUGUGAGAAGAGUCAAAAAAAUUUUUAAAGCAACGCCAUAGAGGGGACAAUACCCUCCAAUUGGAGACUUUACCCUCCAAAUAUAAAACCAUAUACUAAAGUUCAGUGAUUGACUGAGCAGUGGCCUGGGGUGGGGGGAGUCUAUCAAUGCAACAGAAAGGACAAGCCAGAAACAGAUUCAAGUAUAAUUCGUCAUUUAAUAUGCAGUAAAAGUGGCAUUUCAAAUCAGUGCAGCAAGACCAAUGAGUGACCAAUGGAUUGAAGCACCUGGUUAAAACUUGGAAAAAAUAAUAAUAAAUUAGAUCCCCACCCCAAAACAUUCACCAGAUUAAAAUGGAUGUGACGAAGAUAAAACAUGAAACCAGAAGGUUACAAGAAGAAAAUGCCAGCAGAUGUCUGCACCGUCGUGGGGCGGGAUAGGAAUGGUUCCUCUCCUGCUGCAUGAUCCCCAGACCCCCAGGCUCAGCUCAGAAGAGGGGCCUCCUCCCCUGGCCCAGCCCUGGGCCCCAGGGUACCCAGCCCUGCUCCCCCCGACCCCGGCCACCUCUGGCAGCCAGUGAGGCGUAAGCAGCAGGACCCUCUACACACUGGCCCAGGGGAGGGUACAGUCUUUCUGCUCAUGAAGGAAGAGCCACAUGACAAUCUGAUGGUGAUGCCUUUUGAGUAUAAGCUUUUCUGGCCAACUGGCCAAAGAGAGCCCAGAGGGAAAAAGGACCUGGAUUUCCAAAGUUGCAAUGCCUCUUCCCAUUCUAAGCAAAGAUUCACUUUUGCAUCUACUUCUGUACUUCGAAGUUUAUAUUCUUCUUAAAAAGAAACCAACAUGGCAGAAGCAUCAGGCCCCACAAAACCUGGACCCAUGCUGCCCCUACAGUUUCACCACUCUGCAUAGGCCCUCACUACAGCAGGAUAUGUUAGGAAGAGAUCCUCAAUAAGAAGUCAUGAAAGAUAAUGGAAUAUUACUCAGCCAUAAAAAAGAACAAAACAAUACCAUUUGCAGCAACACAGAUGGACCUAGAGAUGAUCACACUACAUCGGACAAAGACAAAUACCAUAUAUCACUUAUAUGUGGCAUCUUUAAAAAAAUGAUACAAAUGAACUUUUUACAAAACAGAAACAGACUCAAAGAUUUCAAAGCCAAACUUAUGGAUGGUUACCAAAGGGGAAACGUUGGGGGAGGAAUAAAUUAAGGGGUUGGGAUUAACAUAUACACACCACUAUAUAUAAAAUAGAUAAGUAAUGAGGACCUACUUAUAGCCCAGGAAACACUACUCAAUAUUCAGUAAUAACCUAUAUGGGAAAAGAAUCUGAAAAAGAAUGGAUGUAUGUAUAUGUAUAACUCACUCACUUUGCUGUUCACCUGAAACUAACACAACAUUGGAAAUCAACUACACCCCAACGAAAACUUUUAAAAAGAAUUCGUGAAAUACUUACACAUUUAUAACACACAGUAUAUAUGAUGGUUAGAGCACAGCUGGUGAAAUUGCGCAGACUCUCAAGAGUUUCGGUUCCCUUUUCUGUAACAUGGGGGUUUUCAUACUUUGCAGAUUGGGAAGAGUUGAUAAGAUCAGAUACGUAAAGCCGCUAAGAACAGUACCUAUUCUAUGGGAGUGAAAUCUAACAGAAAGAAGGCCCCCCAAAACACAUGCUCAGAUGGUUGCCUCUGGGCAGCAAGAUAACGAGAGGUUUUGCUUUACUUCUUUUUUGUCUGUAUUUUUUAAUCUAUUAGCAAUAAGUACAUACUCCUUGAGAAGGAAAAAAAAAAAGGAAAAAGAAAGUUAUUUGGCAGUGAUCCUAGUUAGUAUUAACUCAUUCUUAAAUGAGUGGGGGAUUUUUUUUUGUUUGUGUUUGUUUUUGGUUUUGUUUGCUUUUUACGGUUGCACCUGCAGCAUAUGGAAGUUCCCAGGCUAGAGGUCGAAUUGGAGCUGCACCUGCCGGCCUACACCACUUCCACAGCAACUCGGGUUCAUUUGUAACCUGCGCUGCAGCUUGUGGCAACACCAGAUCCUUAACCCACUGAGGGAGGCCAGGAAUCAAACCUGCAUCCUCUCGGAUAUUAGUCAGGUUCAUAACCCUCUGUGCUGCAAUGGGAACUCCCUUAAAUGAGGGUUAAAUGGCUCUGCGACAAGAGCAGUUUCAGAUUUGGGAGCUGACCUGUCACACUGUCCACAGGGACAAUGACUGAAACUGCGGAUGAAGUUAAAUGGGAGGCAAGGACCCC